rnacentral:rRNA from 1 species
GCGCACGGGUGAGUAACACGUAUCCAACCUGCCGAUAACUCGGGGAUAGCCUUUCGAAAGAAAGAUUAAUACCCGAUGGCAUAAUAGAACCGCAUGGUUUGAUUAUUAAAGAAUUUCGGUUAUCGAUGGGGAUGCGUUCCAUUAGGCAGUUGGUGGGGUAACGGCCCACCAAACCUUCGAUGGAUAGGGGUUCUGAGAGGAAGGUCCCCCACAUUGGAACUGAGACACGGUCCAAACUCCUACGGGAGGCAGCAGUGAGGAAUAUUGGUCAAUGGACGAGAGUCUGAACCAGCCAAGUAGCGUGAAGGAUGACUGCCCUAUGGGUUGUAAACUUCUUUUAUAUGGGAAUAAAGUGAUCCACCGUGUGGAUUUUUGUAUGUACCAUAUGAAUAAGGAUCGGCUAACUCCGUGCCAGCAGCCGCGGUAAUACGGAGGAUCCGAGCGUUAUCCGGAUUUAUUGGGUUUAAAGGGAGCGUAGGUGGACAGUUAAGUCAGUUGUGAAAGUUUGCGGCUCAACCGUAAAAUUGCAGUUGAUACUGGCUGUCUUGAGUACAGUAGAGGUGGGCGGAAUUCGUGGUGU